rnacentral:rRNA from 1 species
GCGAACGCUGGCGGCAGGCCUAACCCAUGCAAGUCGAACGAACUCUUCGGAGUUAGUGGCGGACGGGUGAGUAACACGUGGGAACGUGCCUUUUGGUUCGGAAUAACUCAGGGAAACUUGUGCUAAUACCGAAUGUGCCCUUCGGGGGAAAGAUUUAUCGCCAUUAGAGCGGCCCGCGUCUGAUUAGCUAGUUGGUGAGGUAACGGCUCACCAAGGCGACGAUCAGUAGCUGGUCUGAGAGGAUGACCAGCCACACUGGGACUGAGACACGGCCCAGACUCCUACGGGAGGCAGCAGUGGGGAAUCUUGCGCAAUGGGCGAAAGCCUGACGCAGCCAUGCCGCGUGAAUGAUGAAGGUCUUAGGAUUGUAAAAUUCUUUCACCGGGGACGAUAAUGACGGUACCCGGAGAAGAAGCCCCGGCUAACUUCGUG